AACGAACGCUGGCGGCAGGCCUAAAACAUGCAAGUCGAGCGGGCAUAGCAAUAUGUCAGCGGCGGACGGGUGAAUAACACGUGGGAACAUGCCCUUUGGUACGGAACAACUCAGGGAAACUUGAGCUAAUACCGUAUGUGCCGGUAACGGGAAAGAUUUAUCGCCAAAGGAUUGGCCCGCGUCCGAUUAGCUAGUUGGUGAGGUAACGGCUCACCAAGGCGACGAUCGGUAGCUGGUUUGAGAGAACGAUCAGCCACACUGGGACUGAGACACGGCCCAGACUCCUACGGGAGGCAGCAGUUGGGAAUCUUGGACAAUGGGGGAAACCCUGAUCCAGCCAUGCCGCGUGAGCGAUGAAGGCCUCGGUU
rnacentral:rRNA from 1 species